rnacentral:rRNA from 1 species
UACAGAGGUCCCAAGCGUUGUUCGGAUUCACUGGGCGUAAAGGGUGCGUAGGUGGCCAGGUAAGUUUGGUGUGAAAGCUCGGAACUUAACUCCGAAAAGUCAUUGAAUACUAUCUGGCUGGAGGGUCGGAGGGGAGACUGGAAUUCUCGGUGUAGCAGUGAAAUGCGUAGAUAUCGAGAGGAACACCAGUGGCGAAGGCGAGUCUCUGGACGACUCCUGACACUGAGGCACGAAAGCUAGGGGAGCAAACAGG